UAACUGAGAUGCAGAGAGGCAGCAUGCACAGCAAGUAGCAGAACUCAUUAGAGGAAGGCACUUGGGGCCCUGGAAUUACCGUUAUGUUUCUCCUUCAAGAUAUCGGGCUGCAGCUUGGAGGGCUCAGGCAGGAGGCUCUUGUUUCAACUUGGCUUUAGGAAGGGUCUGACUGCAAUGGACUUGAAUGUCUCCGACUAGUGCUGUGUGGAGGACCCUUCAUCCUGAUUCAGCAGUAUGUUUGGUUAUUUCUGAUUAGUAAUGCACUGCAUGUCUGCCUGCACGUCUGUGUGAACCCUGCACUUGUUAGAUGCUGCUCUUUUUCUAGCCACUGAGGCGAAACAGCAAGGCAUGGAAAGGUAACAAUUAGCUGCAGUUG
rnacentral:lncRNA from 1 species